rnacentral:rRNA from 1 species
UACACUCCUGCGGGAGGCAGCAGUGGGGAAUAUUGGCCAAUGGGCGCAAGCCUGAUCCAGCCAUGCCGCGUGAGUGAUGAAGGCCCUAGGGUUGUAAAGCUCUUUCACCGGUGAAGAUAAUGACGGUAACCGGAGAAGAAGCCCCGGCUAACUUCGUGCCAGCAGCCGCGGUAAUACGAAGGGGGCUAGCGUUGUUCGGAUUUACUGGGCGUAAAGCGCACGUAGGCGGACUAUUAAGUCAGGGGUGAAAUCCCGGGGCUCAACCCCGGAACUGCCUUUGAUACUGGUAGUCUUGAGUUCGAGAGAGGUGAGUGGAAUUCCGAGUGUAGAGGUGAAAUUCGUAGAUAUUCGGAGGAACACCAGUGGCGAAGGCGGCUCACUGGCUCGAUACUGACGCUGAGGUGCGAAAGCGUGGGGAGCAAACAGGAUUAGAAACCCGAGUAGUCCCA